AUACGUAGGUGGCAAGCGUUGUCCGGAAUUACUGGGUGUAAAGGGCGUGUAGGCGGGACGGCAAGUCAGAUGUGAAAUACCUCGGCUUAACUGGGGUGCUGCAACUGAAACUGUCGUUCUUGAGUGUCGGAGAGGAAAGUGGAAUUCCCAGUGUAGCGGUGAAAUGCGUAGAGAUUGGGAGGAACACCAGUGGCGAAGGCGGCUUUCUGGACGAUAACUGACGCUGAGGCGCGAAAGCGUGGGUAGCAAACAGGAUUAGAUACACUGGUAGUCCACGCUGUAAACGAUGGAUACUAGGUGUAGGAGGUAUCGACCCCUUCUGUGCCGGAGUUAACACAAUAAGUAUCCCACCUGGGGAGUACGGCCGCAAGGUUGAA
rnacentral:rRNA from 1 species